AACACGUGUGGGCAGAGCCUUAAUCCUUGCUGGCCUCGUGGUGAUUAGAGGCUGGAGGCAGUAAAGUCCCCUAUUGCCUUGUUCUCCUGUGAGGUUGUGAUGUGAGACCCACAGGGCCAAGGAGACCUGAGUCCCUGAGACUGGCAGUAUAGUGAUCCUGGCCUCCCUGAUCCUGUGUGCCUGAAUGCCUCCAUAGGAACCUCAUGCUGCUGCAGUUGCAGUGGGAGAGACCAAGGUUACCAGCAACUGGGGAAUAUAGGGCUUUGCCCUUUCCUCUUGUUCUCAGGUGGUGGAAAGAGCCUCCUGGGGAGGGCACUAGCCAGCUGUUCAAAAGUGUGUGAUUCAUGCCCUCCACCUCCACUUCUGGGGCCCUUGUCUGGCAAGCAUCCUUUUGAGCAGGUCUUAAGAGCCCAAGUGAUGGCUGUCCCCCUCCCUGCACUAGACUAAAUAAGACUCAGAAAAGUGCCUCUGAGACCUGGCUCAGGUGACUGGGCUUACCGCCCAUCUCCCCCAGGGGCUGGGAAGCUGGUGUUGCAGAGCCUAGGGCCAUCCUCUGAGCCUCCUAAGGACCAAAUCAUCUUGCAGUUAGGCACCAAAGCAUUCCUUAUAUGGUGGUUUAAAAAACGGAUUUCAAGACUUUUUUUUUUUCUCUAAAGACAGAUUCACUUUAUAGUCCAGACUGACCUUGACUCAAUGUAGUCCAGGUUGGCCAAGAACUGACAAUUCUGGAUUACAAGCAUGCACCACCAUGCCCUGGUUUUUUUUUUUUUGGAUUGUUUUUGGUGUGUGACAAGGUCUCGAUUUGUAGUGCAGGCUGACCUUGCACUAACUGUAGCCCAGAUAGCCUCAAACACAGAGAUCCUCCUGCCUCAGCCUCUAGUGUACUGGGUUUAGAGGUGUGUAUCCCAUUCCCAGCAAGCCAUUUUUAUGUGAUAGGUGAAUUUAAUACUCUACACUGAUUUUUCAAGCCUGAAAAGUUUUUACAUUUUUCUGCUCUUUCCUGGGGUGGUAGGAGAGGCAGGACCCAACUUCUCGCAGUCCUCUCUGGAAAGACCUGGAACGUAUUUGGCUAUUGAUGCUUUGAACCAGUAUCUUUUCCACGAGAUGUUCUCCACGGUCCCUAAAGCCAGGAAUGGGGGCGGGACGAACGUAGACGAACAGCCUGAGUAGCCAGUCACCGACAAGCGAAGGUCAAGGCACCCGGCGCAGUUCCGGUUCCUCUGGCGUAGAUUUGUUAGGUCUAACCCGAGUUGAGAGCUACAGCAGCGCGGUGCAAUGCCUCUGCACAGGUUCCCGGUUCACCUGUGGAGGCAGCUGCGGGAAGGUAUCUACUCGCGCCUGCCUGCGCAUUUCCUGCGCUCUCUGGAGGACUCACGUUUGCCUACCCCUGUCCACUACCGGCCUCACGGGGCCAAGUUCAAGAUCAACCCCAAGAACGGGCAACGGGAGCGCGUGGAGGACGUGCCAAUCCCUAUUUACUAUCCUCCGGAGUCCCAAAAGGGGCUCUGGGGCGGCGAGGGCUGGAUCUUGGGCUACAGAUACGCCAACAACGACAAGCUCUCAAACAGGGUGAAGAAGGUGUGGAAGCCACAGCUGUUUCAGCGUGAGCUCUACAGCGAGAUCCUGGACAAGAAGUUCACUGUGACUGUAACCAUGCGGACCCUGGAUCUCAUUGAUGAGGCCUAUGGGUUUGACUUUUAUAUCCUUAAGACCCCGAAGGAAGACCUGUGCUCCAAGUUUGGGAUGGACCUGAAACGAGGAAUGCUGCUAAGGCUUGCCAGGCAGGACCCCCAGCUACACCCAGACGACCCUGAGCGGAGAAUGGCCAUCUAUGACAAGUACAAGGAGUUUGUCAUUCCAGAGGAGGAGGCUGAGUGGGUUGGCCUGACGCUAGAGGAGGCUGUGGAGAAGCAGAGGCUUCUGGAGGAGAAGCAUGGCCUUCAACUCACUGUAUAAUCCACUGGGCUUGAACUCAAAAUGAUCCUUCUGCCUCAUCCUCCUGAAUGCUGGGAUUCUAGGACCCUGUGCCCCUCUUCAAGAUCUACACGGAAGAGCUGAUUGAGCGGCUUCAGCAACAGGCGCUGUCAGAACCUGUGGUGGUGCAGAAGAGAGCCAGCGGGAAGUGACUAAAUAGCCUCUUCAGUGCCUCACCACCAGGCUCAGCCUUUCUUGCUGGGUCUUUUAUCACUGUGGACACAGAACUUGGGGGAGCCAUGAGGGCUACCUGUGGGCAAUGGGUGAAUCUUGGUUCUUGUAUGCUGACCAUACAGCACCUGGGGGCACUUUUGUCCCGGGAACCCCCAGAGGCCUGGUACUAAGGAGAGGCCCUGCUCAGAUUGGGGUAAAUGCCAGAUAACAUUUAUUGUCCCAGUGGGUCUGGGAGCAAGUAAAGUCUGAACCAGG